ACAGGGCUCUGCGAAGUCGCAAGACGACGUAUAGGGUCUGACGCCUGCCCGGUGCCUGAAGGUUAAAAGGAGGGGUGAGAGCUCUGAAUUGAAGCCCAGGUAAACGGCGGCCGUAACUAUAACGGUCCUAAGGUAGCGAAAUUCCUUGUCGGGUAAGUUCCGACCUGCACGAAUGGCGUAACGACUUCCCCGCUGUCUCCAACAUCGACUCAGCGAAAUUGAAUUGCCUGUCAAGAUGCAGGCUUCCCGCGGUUAGACGGAAAGACCCCGUGCACCUUUACUACAACUUCGCAUUGGCAUCAGGAUUGUGAUGUGCAGGAUAGGUGGUAGGCUUUGAAGCGGGAACGCCAGUUCCCGUGGAGCCUCCCUUGAGAUACCACCCUUCGCACUCUUGAUGUCUAACCGCGGUCCGUUAUCCGGAUCCGGGACCCUGCGUGGUGGGUAGUUUGACUGGGGCGGUCGCCUCCUAAAGCGUAACGGAGGCGCGCGAAGGUUGGCUCAGAGCGGUCGGAAAUCGCUCGUUGAGUGCAAUGGCAGAAGCCAGCCUGACUGCAAGACUGACAAGUCGAGCAGAGUCGAAAGACGGCCAUAGUGAUCCGGUGGUCCCAAGUGGGAGGGCCAUCGCUCAACGGAUAAAAGGUACGCCGGGGAUAACAGGCUGAUACUGCCCAAGAGUCCAUAUCGACGGCAGUGUUUGGCACCUCGAUGUCGGCUCAUCUCAUCCUGGGGCUGGAGCAGGUCCCAAGGGUACGGCUGUUCGCCGUUUAAAGAGGUACGUGAGCUGGGUUUAGAACGUCGUGAGACAGUUCGGUCCCUAUCUGCCGUGGGUGUAGGAUACUUGAGAGGAGUUGCCCCUAGUACGAGAGGACCGGGGUGAACGAUCCACUGGUGGACCUGUUGUGGCGCCAGCCGCAGUGCAGGGUAGCUAUGAUCGGAAAGGAUAACCGCUGAAGGCAUCUAAGCGGGAAGCCCCCCUCAAAACAAGGUAUCCCUGAGGGCCG
rnacentral:rRNA from 1 species